AAUGAACGCUGGCGGCGCGCCUAAUACAUGCAAGUCGAGCGAGAAGACGUAGCAAUACGUUUGUAAAGCGGCGAACGGGUGAGGAAUACAUGGGUAACCUACCCUAGAGUGGGGAAUAACUAGCCGAAAGGUUAGCUAAUACCGCGUACGCUCCUUGGACUUCGGUUCAGGGAGGAAAGCGAUACCGAGGGUAUCGCGCUCUUGGAUGGGCUCAUGUCCUAUCAGCUUGNGGUGAGGUAACGGCUCACCAAGGCUUCGACGGGUAGCUGGUCUGAGAGGACGAUCAGCCACACUGGCACUGCGACACGGGCCAGACUCCUACGGGAGGCAGCAGUAAGG
rnacentral:rRNA from 1 species